rnacentral:sRNA from 1 species
GGGAUUGUGAGGAGUAAGCUUGAAACGCAAAGCCUUUGGAGUCGAAACACGGACAGACGCCCAAAGGCUUUUGCAA